UGCGGCGGCCAUGGCCCAGGAGUGACGCCCGGUUCCAUUGCACGACACGCCGUACAGCUAAGACCUGGCACGGCGAUGGUACUGCACCCGACAGGGUGUGGGAGAGUAGCACGCCGCCGCAC
rnacentral:rRNA from 1 species